rnacentral:rRNA from 1 species
UACAGAGGUCCCAAGCGUUGUUCGGAUUCACUGGGCGUAAAGGGUGCGUAGGCGGUCGGGUAAGUCUGAUGUGAAAUCUCACAGCUUAACUGUGAAACUGCAUUGGAUACUAUCCGGCUCGAGGAAUGGAGGGGAGACUGGAAUACUUGGUGUAGCAGUGAAAUGCGUAGAUAUCAAGUGGAACACCAGUGGCGAAGGCGGCUUACUGGUCCGGUUCUGACGCUGAGGCGCGAAAGCGUGGGGAGCAAACAGG